UAUCAAAUUGUCUACAUUGCCAGGCUGGUUCCCUUGAUACUAAUGUGGCUUUAGGGGCAGCAAGGACAUAAAAUUAAAAUGAAUACUGGUACAAGUCCUCUGCUCUGAAGGGUAAACUUUAAACAAUACAUGGAGUUUAUCUUCAUUGUGCCCUAUGCUCUGCCACAUCAAUAUCAAAUUAUAUUGAUAUCAGCAGACACAUUAGUGUCAAGCUCUCAGGCCAUGAUUCAAGCAGUUACACAAAUAAUACACACAAGAUUCUAACGGCUAGCAGAGAAGAAGCUUGGGGCGUAAGGAUAAGUGUGAACAGAAGAAAAUCUAGGCAAAGAGGAGCCCCUAAAUUUAAAUAUGUGGGAUUAGCCAAAGGCCCUCUCCCACUGCUUCCCAUGGAGCUGCAGCAUUAACAAAGCAAGUGCCCAGCACUUUAAGAAAUCAAACCACUUUCUUUAGCUGCCUAAUUUUAGGCAUUCACAUGUGACAGUUUUGGCCAAUGUUCUCAAUGAAAUUAAUAACUGAAAUGGGAAAGCAUGCACAGUAUAUUUAAAACUAAAAACAGCCAAUUCAUUGAGAGUGUAUUUUGGCAUUCUGAAAAUUCCUUGCUACACAGAUCAAAUGAGCCACCACCGUACAGUUAUUAAAAAAGCACUACUCUGAAGUGCAUGUUACAUCAGAAAAAUUUGCAAUAUUUUUAAAA